CUGAAGUGGAUGAGGAUGUUUUUGAGCUCCCUUUGAAAGGUCUGAACCUUGGUGUGCUAGAGAUUUGUGAAGCACAAAAUCUCAAUCCAGAAGGUAAGUUUUUUUUAAGUGUCAUUUGGUUAUUUUUGUGAACUAUUUUUGGUCAUUCCUAUGGGUUUGACUGGAUAAUAGGGAUAGAAAUUGCUUUCCAGAGCAGUAUAGACAUGUUGAUGUCCAUUCGAUAUCACCAAUCUAGGAUGAGAUCAUCAAAGCAUUCACCUUUGUACCAUUUCACACAUGUGGAAACAUCCUAACAUCUUAUAUUAAUUGGUUCAAUAUAAGUGCACCUCCUCCUGCCGUCAGUGUUUGGUAAGCUUACUCUGGAAGUAUUAAUACGGUUGCAAAUAAGAAGUUUUGGUAGCUUAUGUUUAUUUUACUUUUUCUUUUAGGAUGGGACAGUGACAUGUCAUCCAUUUUGAUCCUAGUGCACCUCCUGCUACCGUCAUCUCAUGGGCACAAGAGACCAGGAAAGCUCUCAGCCAGACAAACCAGUGAACAUCUUGUGAAGUUUGUCAAGACAGGAACCAGCAUCCAGGAGCACCUUGAUGGCAUCGCAGAAAGCCGUCAACCAUCCCUGCUUGCAGUAGGGACUCAGAGGAGCGUGAUUCACAAGUACUUCAUUGUGAUUGACAAACAUGCCAUUCCUUGUAAAUCACAAGGUUCUCUUGCCUGUUUUGAUGAGAUUUUUAUGGUCAUCUUCUUUAAAAAACAGUUGAAAAGUUGAAGUGAAAUGCCAGUUUUCCACAAGAUCUACAAUGUUGUUAAAGUUGAGAGGUUACUGUUUGUUACAUUUGCUCUGCAAACAGUGUGUCUGAAUGAGCAUUUCAGUGCUUUCCAAGUUUUGUGUACAAGAGACGGACCUCAUGUUAUUUAUGUAGAAGAGCUUUACUGUUUCAGAGCUGUUGAUUUACAGGUGUCAUACUGUCAUGAAGAUGCAAAUGUUUAUAUUGUUCCAUACUGUUUCCUGUGAACAAUAAAAAUGGCUGUUCAAAUACUGA